GUCGAGCGGUACAGACAAAAAGAUUCAGCUUGCUGAAUCCGGUGCUGACGAGCGGCGAACGGGUGAGUAACGCGUAGGAAUCUACCCAGUAGCGGGGGAUAGCCCGAGGAAACUCGGAUUAAUACCGCAUACGCCCUGAGGGGGAAAGGGGGCAGUUUACUGCUCUCACUAUUGGAUGAGCCUGCGUAAGAUUAGCUUGUUGGUAGGGUAAUGGCCUACCAAGGCGACGAUCUUUAGCUGGUCUGAGAGGACGAUCAGCCACAUUGGGACUGAGACACGGCCCAGACAUCUACGGAUGGCAGCAGUUAAGAAUAUUGGACAAUGGGGGCAACCCUGAUCCAGGUAUACCGCGUGUGUGAAGAAGGCCCUAGGGUUGUAAAGCACUUUAAUCAGAGAAGAAGCAAUUUAAGUUAAUACCUUAUUUUGUUGACGUUACCUGAAGAAUAAGGACCGGCUAACUCCGUGCCAGCAGCCGCGGUAAUACGGAGGGUCCAAGCGUUAAUCGGAAUUACUGGGCGUAAAGCGCGCGUAGGCGGUUUAGCAAGUUGUAUGUGAAAGCCCUGGGCUCAACCUAGGAACUGCAUCCAAAACUACUAAGCUAGAGUACGAGAGAGGAGAGUAGAAUUUCUGGUGUAGCGGUGAAAUGCGUAGAUAUCAGAAGGAAUACCAAUGGCGAAGGCAGCUCUCUGGCUCGUCACUGACGCUGAGGUGCGAAAGCGUGGGUAGCAAACAGGAUUAGAUACCCUGGUAGUCCACGCCGUAAACGAUGACAACUAGCCGUUGGGCAGAUUUAACUGUUCAGUGGCACAGCUAACGCAUUA
rnacentral:rRNA from 1 species